rnacentral:sRNA from 1 species
UAUAUUUGUAGAUAGCUAUGCUUACAAAUGUUACUACUGUGAACUGUAGGAUGAUCUCAGUUGCCAAUGUUGUUCCAUUAUGGUGUGUUUCAAUAUUUCUUUUGUUGUUUCAUCUGUACCUAAUUUCAUUAUUAGAGAUGUGCUAGUCCAACUAUAUGUGCUUCGAUAUAUCUGGAGAUUCUCUUGGUAUCAAGGGUAGGUAUCCAAUUGAACAUGGUUUUUGGUUUGUGAAAUUUUUUCGAUUUGCAUUUUCACUCUUUGGACCUAAAUGAGUUUGAUCUUGUUCUGUAGGUGAAACCUGAUGACAUAUGUUCCCAAGUUGGUUUAUGUUCCGCCAAAAGGAUUCAAUCUAAGAGAUUCCAUCAAGCUUGAAGAAGGUCUUCCACCCAAUAAUUUUUUGUGCAACAUUUGCAGAGCUAACAACAAUUGUUUCAGAGUUUCUUUCUGAGUAGAGCUUGAUUAUAUUUUAGGUGUAAAUUAUAGUUUAGUUAAUAUUCAAUUCUAUAUUGUACAAGGGUCGGUUUGUUUUGAAUUCUAUUUAUAAAGUCUUUCAAUAAA